UCCUGGUCAACAUGGUGAAACCCUGUCUCUACUAAAAAUACAAAAAAUCAGCUGGGCACGGUGGUGCGUGCCUGUAAUCCCAGCUACUUAGGAGGCUGAGGCAGGAGAAUUGCCUGAACCCAGGAGGCAGAGGUGACAGUGAGCCAAGGUCACACCACUGCAUUCCAGCCUGGGU